GGAAGAACAGGGUGAGGAUGAAGAAAAAGAGGAGGCAUGCCAAGUACAAGCCUGAACGGGUUCCCAAGAACGCUGUUUCAACCCCCUCAUCCAUACUGACAAAGAGAGAAAGAGAGAGAGAGAAAAUGGAGACAGAAAAAGAUGGCAGUGCAGCAGAUAAAGAAGGACAUGGCAUGGCUACCGAGGUCAUCAGGAGCAGGCUUUGGGACUGACUGUUGAACAGCUGUGGUACACAAAAUCAGCCACAAUGACUUUCUCCACAUUGUUUUAGUUGACUAGCUUAAUUUGUUUGCUAUGUUAUGAGAAAACAACUGUAAGUUUAAGUUAAAUGAAGUUUGUAGAACUCAUUGUUGUUGUUGACCACUGGUGGAGAAUGAAAUGAAAUGAAGAUAAAUUGGAAGACUUCCUGAAAUAAACUGUCUAAACUUGAGAACAUUAACUAAGCUAAUGUAAU